GCAAGUCGAGGGGCAGCAUGAUCUUCGGAUCGAUGGCGACCGGCGCACGGGUGCGUAACGCGUAUGCAACCUACCCAUAACAGGGGGAUAGCCCGAAGAAAUUCGGAUUAACACCGCAUAGUACUGAAUUAUCGCAUGGUAAUUUAGUUAAAUAUUUAUAGGUUAUGGAUGGGCAUGCGUAAGAUUAGAUUGUUGGUGAGGUAACGGCUCACCAAGUCUACGAUCUUUAGGGGUUCUGAGAGGAUUAUC
rnacentral:rRNA from 1 species